AUCUGCUGGAGAAAAUGCUGUCCAGGGCAGAUAAAAGGCUCGGCAUGGUACAGAGAAUAGACUGGAUUGGCCAAAAGCAGGCUGCAGUUAAUGUGUAAAUAAGUGAAAUCAAGGCCACUGUUGCAGAGGAAGCUGUUGUUAAUUAGCACCAGCAACAAGUGGUGCAGGCUGUGGAACGGGCCAAGCAGGUGACCAUGGCAGAACUGAACGCCAUCAUUGGGAUGGGCAGUUCAUCUUAAACAAAAUGUUGGACAAAAUCAGUGAUGAAACAACUGAGGAUGAAGGAGAGUUGGAGAGUUGAAGGAGCAGUGAAAAAGAAUGGAAGAAAACAUGAUGUGCAGGUGGAGAGGCUGGCCUUUGAAAGGAAAAGGACCCUUCUCUAAGAUUAGCAUACAAGAGGAAGAGAAGAAGCUCAUUUUAGAACUGUUCUGAGAUAGAAUAAAACCAAACAAGGACCUCAGGAAG
rnacentral:lncRNA from 1 species